UACAGAGGGUGCAAGCGUUGUUCGGAAUUAUUGGGCGUAAAGCGCGUGUAGGCGGCUUUGCAAGUCGGGUGUGAAAGCCCUCAGCUCAACUGAGGAAGUGCACUCGAUACUGGCAAGCUAGAGUCCCGGAGAGGAUGGUGGAACUCUCGGUGUAGAGGCGAAAUUCGUAGAUAUCGAGAAGAACACCGGUGGCGAAGGGCGGCCAUCGUGGACGGUGACUGACGCUGAGACGCGAAAGCGUGGGGAGCAAAACAGGAUUGAGAUACCGUU
rnacentral:rRNA from 1 species